rnacentral:rRNA from 1 species
GUGUUACUGCGAAGGGGGGACGGAGAAGGCUAUGUUGGCCGGGCGACGGUUGUCCCGGUUUAAGCGUGUAGGCUGGUUUUCCAGGCAAAUCCGGAAAAUCAAGGCUGAGGCGUGAUGACGAGGCACUACGGUGCUGAAGCAACAAAUGCCCUGCUUCCAGGAAAAGCCUCUAAGCAUCAGGUAACAUCAAAUCGUACCCCAAACCGACACAGGUGGUCAGGUAGAGAAUACCAAGGCGCUUGAGAGAACUCGGGU